rnacentral:rRNA from 1 species
GUAUCCUGGCUCAGGAUGAACGCUGGCGGCGUGCCUAACACAUGCAAGUCGAACGAAGCGCCUUGCCCGAAGAAGCGGAGUGCUUGCACAAAGCAGAUUCAAUUAAGGCGACUUAGUGGCGGACGGGUGAGUAACGCGUGGGUAACCUGCCUUAUACAGGGGGAUAACAGUUAGAAAUGACUGCUAAUACCGCAUAAGCACACAGCUCCGCAUGGAGCGGCGUGAAAAGCCAAGACGGUAUAAGAUGGACCCGCGUCUGAUUAGCCAGUUGGCAGGGUAACGGCCUACCAAAGCUACGAUCAGUAGCCGGCCUGAGAGGGUGAACGGCCACAUUGGGACUGAGACACGGCCCAAACUCCUACGGGAGGCAGCAGUGGGGGAUAUUGCACAAUGGGGGGAACCCUGACCCAGCAACGCCGCGUGAGGGAAGAAGGUUUUUCGGAUCGUAAACCUCUGUCCUUGGUGAAGAGGAAGAGACGGUAGCCAAGGAGGAAGCCCCGGCUAACUACGUGCC